AGGAUUCCCUAGUAACGGCGAGUGAAGAGGGAAGAGCCCAGCACCGAAGCCUGUGCGAGUUUUGCUGUUAGGCAAUGUGGUGUUUGGGUCGGCUCGUGGGAUUGCCGCUCCACUCCAAGUCCAGCAUUGAGUAUGGUUAACUGGAUUUGGCCCAGAGAGGGUGAAAGGCCCGUAGAGUGGAGUAUCAGAAAUGUAAGGCAGUUCACCAGGUCGACCUUAGAGUCGGGUUGUUUGGGAGUGCAGCCCAAAGUGGGUGGUAAACUCCAUCCAAGGCUAAAUACAAGCACGAGUCCGAUAGCGAACAAGUACCGUGAGGGAAAGUUGAAAAGUACUCUGAAGAGAGAGUAAACAGUACGUGAAACCGCAUUCAGGUAAACGGGUGGCGUCAAGCUGCAGGCCCAGAGGAUUCAGUCGACUAGGAUGUAGUGUAUGUGCCUGGCGCAUCCAUCAGUCGGAGUGAGAUAGAGUAGUCCACGGGCUGACCGUGGGUCUGGCCGCAAGUCGGGAUAUGUGUACCGGAUGGUGCCGGAGCAUGCUACUCGUCUGGGGACUGUCUAGUCGGUGCACUUUCUCUGUGUGGUCAACACCACGACCGGUGUAUUGCCAGUCUGCUGUGCUCAAGUUGGGCUUGGUUGGUCCUUGUGUCUAGCCGAGUGCGAUCACAGGCAAACUCAGUGAACGGCGCGGGGGUGCUUCGGUAUCUUCGUGUGUUAUCGGCCACUGGUUGCCAACAGGCCUGUCCGAUGUUUGUUGUAACCGAUGUUGGGUGGUCUGGUGGAGCAUGGUGGUAGGAAUAGCUGUGCAAGGCACCGGAGUUGUCGGCCUCAAAUGCGUCCUGCACACACGUUACAAGUGGUGCCUAGUGGCGACGUCGUUGCUAUCUGCCUGUUGUUGGGUGUGAUUGGCGUGUUGCCCGCGAAAAGUGGGUCCGCAGUGGCUCCGACUCGGGAUGGGUGGGUUGCGGUGUUGUCGGUGUGGGAUGUGGUGGGCCCUAAUAGUCAGUGGU
rnacentral:rRNA from 1 species